GACGAACGCUGGCGGCGUGCCUAAUACAUGCAAGUCGAGCGGACUUUCAAGAAGCUUGCUUUUUGAAAGUUAGCGGCGGACGGGUGAGUAACACGUGGGCAACCUGCCUGCAAGACGGGGAUAACUCCGGGAAACCGGGGCUAAUACCGGAUAAUAUCUUCCUUCGCAUGAAGGAAGGUUGAAAGGCGGCGCAAGCUGCCGCUUGCAGAUGGGCCCGCGGCGCAUUAGCUAGUUGGGGAGGUAACGGCUCACCAAGGCGACGAUGCGUAGCCGACCUGAGGGGGUGAUCGGCCACACUGGGACUGAGACACGGCCCAGACUCCUACGGGAGGCAGCAGUAGGGAAUCUUCCGCAAUGGACGAAAGUCUGACGGAGCAACGCCGCGUGAGCGAAGAAGGUCUUCGGAUCGUAAAGCUCUGUUGUCAGGGAAGAACAAGUACCGUUCGAACAGGGCGGUACCUUGACGGUACCUGACCAGAAAGCCACGGCUAACUACGUG
rnacentral:rRNA from 1 species